GCUGAUGAGAUUAAAACCACAUUAAUGGAGAAAUCAAUUGUCAGUGCCCUGAAUAUUAUUGAUGGAACUAUCAUAAUUUAUGCAGAGACUUCCACAAUCACAACUCCUGAUGAAACAUCCACCACUAGUGCAGCAGAAACAUCUACAACAACAGAGACUUCCACAAUCACGACACCUGAUGAAACAUCCACCACUAGUGCACCAGAAACAUCUACAACAACAGAGACUUCCACAAUCACGACACCUGAUGAAACAUCCACCACUAGUUUAUCAGAAACAUCUACAACAACAGAGAUUUUUCACAAUCACGACACCUGAUGAAACAUCCACCACUAGUUUAGUAGAAACAUCUACAACAACAGAGACUUCAACAAUCAUGACUCCAGAUAAAACAUCCACCGCUAGUGCAAUAGAAACAUCUACAACAUCAGAGACUUCCACAAUCACAACUCCAGAUAAAAACAUCCACCACUAGUGUAAUAGAAAUAUCUACAACAUCAGAGACUACCACAAUCAUGACUCCUGAUGAAACAUCCACCACUAGUGCACCAGAAACAUCUACAAAAACAGAGACUUCCACAAUCACGACUCCUGCUGAAACAUCCAUCACUAGUUUAGCAGAAACAUCUACAACAACAGAGACUUCCACAAUCACAACACCGAAUGAAACAUCCACCACUAGUUUAGCAGAAACUAGUACAACAACAGAGACUUCCACAAUCACGACUCCUGAUGAAACAUCCACCACUAGUACACCAGAAAGAUCUACAUCAACAGAGACUUCCACAGUCAUGACUCCUGCUGAAACAUCCACCACUAGUUUAGCAGAAACAACUACAACAACAGAGACAUCCACAAUCACCACUCCUGAUGAAACAUCAACCACUAGCGCACCAGAAACAUCUACAAUGUCAGAGACUUCCACAAUCACGACACCUCAUGAAACAUCCAGCACUAGUGCACCAGAAACAUCUACAACAUCAGAGACUUCCACAAUCACAACUCCUGAUGAAACAACCACCACUAUUGCAGCAGAACCAUCAACAACAACAGAGACUUCCACAAUCAUGACUCCUGCUGAAACAUCCAUCACUACUUUAGCAGAAACAUCUACAACAACAGAGACUUCCACAAUCAUGACUCCGAAUGAAACAUCCACCACUAGUUUAGCAGAAACUAGUACAACAACAGAGACUUCCACAAUCACGACUCCUGAUGAAACAUCCACCACUAGUGCACCAGAAACAUCUACAACAACAGAGACUUCCACAAUCACGACUCCUGCUGAAACAUCCACCACUAGUUUAGCAGAAACAUCUACAAAAACACAGACUUUCACAAUCACGACACCUGAUGAAACAUCCACCACUAGUUUAUCAGAAACAUCUACAUCAACAGAGACUUACACAAUCAUGACUACUGAUGAAGCAUCCACCACUAGUGCACCAGAAACAUCUACAAUGUCAGAGACUUCCACAAUCACGACACCUCAUGAAACAUCCAGCACUAGUGCACCAGAAACAUCUACAACAACAGACACUUCCACAAAGACGACUCCUGAUGAAACAUUUACAACAACAGAGACUUCCACAAUCAUGACUCCUGCUGAAGCAUCAACCACUAUUGCAGCAGAACCAUCAACAACAACAAAGACUUCCACAAUCAUGACUGCUGAUGAAACACCCACCACUAGUGGACCAGAAAUAUCUAGAACAACAGAGACUUCCACAAUCACGACUCCUGCUGAAACAUCCAUUACUAGUACACCGGAAACAUCUACAACAACAGAGACUUCCACAAUCACAACUCCUGAUGAAACAUCUACCACAAGUUUAGCAGAAACACCUACAACAACAGAGACUUCAACAAUCAUGACUCCUGAUGAAACAUCCACCACUAGAUUAGCAGAAACAUCUACAACAACAGAGACUUCCACAAUCACAACUCCUGAUGAAACAUCCACCACUAGUUUAGCAGAAACACCUACAACAACAGAGACUUCCACAAUCACAACUCCUGAUGAAACAUCCACCACUAGUGCAGCAGAACCAUCAACAACAACAGAGACUUCCACAAUCAUGACUCCAGAUAAAACAUCCACCACUAGUGCAAUAGAAAGAUCUACAACAACAGAGACUUCCACAAUGACGACUCCUGAUGAAACAUCCACCACUAAUUUAGCAGAAACAUCUACAACAACAGAGACUUCCAAAAUCAUGACUCCUGCUGAAGCAUCCACCACUAUUGCAGCAGAACCAUCAACAACAACAGAGACUUCCACAAUCAUGACUCCAGAUAAAACAUCCAUCACUAAUUUAGCAGAAACAUCUACAACAACAGAGACUUCCACAAACACUACUACUGAUGAAACAUCCACCACUAGUUUAUCAGAAACAUCUACAACAACAGAGACUUCCAUAAUCAUGACUCCUGCUGAAACAUCCAUCAGUAGUUUAGUAGAAACAUCUAUUACAACAAAGACUUCCACAAUCAUCACUCCUGAUGAAACAUCCACUACUAGUUUAUCAGAAACAUCUACAUCAACA
ensembl:lncRNA